GGAUCCUAGGGCAUGGAUUAGGAAGUGUGUGAAAUGUUUUGAAGUCUAUAAGGUUCCUAGAGAAUUAAUGGUGAGUAUUGCUAGUCUCUUAUUGGUGGAUAGGGCAGGUGCAUGGUUCCAUAAUUGGGUUAAGGGUGAGAGGACUAAUGUGUGAGAGGAGUUUGAGAAGGGAUUAUGUGGAUAAAUUUCAAUAACUAUCCCUGAACUUAUAUGGUUGUAACACUACAGUCCUUAAACUUUAAAACGUAACAUAAAACCCC
rnacentral:misc_RNA from 1 species